rnacentral:lncRNA from 1 species
GCCAGCGCCGCCUCAACUGGCUUCCGUGCCGGUGGCACGAAAAAAGCACCAAUCCGACCGUGGCCGUUGCCAGCCUCGCCUGGCACCUGUGCGGGUGGCACGUAAAAAGCACCCACUACACUCACAGAGUGGUUGGCGUUAGGAAGGGCAUCCACCUGUAGAAACAUUGUCAGAUAAGACUGGAGCCUGGUGCAGCCUUCUGGCUUCCUAGAUCCCCGGUCGAACCGUCCAACCCAUGCUAGCAUGGAGAACGGAUGUAUGAUGAUGAUGAUGAUAUCUACUGCAUCAUUAAAGUUUAUGUUCAAAGGUUUUCUUGAGAGUACAUAAUUACUGUAUCAUUAAAGUUAUGUUGCCACCAGUUUUCUCAAGAUUAAGCAUGUUUUCAUCUCAUCAUCCCAAUCUUUACAUCUUUUCUCAAAGAUUUCCUCAUAUCUUCAGUAGUAUGCUUCAAAGGUAUCUCCUUUGUCAGGUUCGUAUUUGAACUCUUUUAUGGAGUUCACAACAUAGUCUGAUGAAAACAUUCUUUCUGAAGUUCCUGAAUACUUCAUUAAUUGCAGCAUUUGUUUCUGUAAUUGUAAUUGUGCUUCUUUCAGUUGUUGUUGUUGUUGCUGCUGUUUUUGGAACUUGAGCAAACCAGCCAACAAAUUUUCCAUAAUUUCUAUGAUUCUUUUUUUUUUUUUGCAAAAUUCAUACAACAAAACUUAGUGAGUUUUGUUAACUUCUCGGGAGUUGUUAAUUCCUCAUGAGUUAUUAAUUCUUCGUAGAGAUGUUUAAAUCUUUGUUGAGUUUAUUAAUUCUUUGUGAGUUGUUUAAUUCCUCAUCAAGUUUAUUAAUUCCUUGUGAGUUGUUUAUAUCCUCAUUGAGUUUAUUAAUUCCUCGUGAGUCGUUUCAAUCCAUUGCCACAGUUAUAAUACCUACUUCAGUAUACAGUAUACUUAGUAAAACCAGCAAAGACAUAACUAUCUCUGACCACCUAUGAUAUACUCUGAUACCUCACAUACUUCUCUUUACUUAUAGUGACUAGGUUAUUCCAUUCAUCAUGUGAGAGGGAUGUACCACAAGUACUAAUCCCCUACAAUAUGAACAAAAUCAAGAUGAAACUUGGUACAGGUGUAGAAUCUAGUUGAAUGAAGUAAUCUAUGCAAGAACAUUCAGAGAUAGGAAAUAUAGAAAUAACAGCUAAGAGGUGACUUUCAGUCAUGUUGUGUAGAGAAAUAGAUGGACAAAGCAAUGACAUGAAUGGCUCUAAGUCUAACUGAAUAAGAAGCGAAGAGAAGGGUUAGCAAGCUGUUAUUUAUUAAUGAAACACUAGACAUUCUAGAAACUUCCAAGAGAAACGCUAAGCUUAUCCUUACUCUGAAUAAUUAAGAAUCAUGUCUCAUGACACAGAUGCUUCAAGAAACUUAGAAAGGGAGGUUCUUGCAAGACAACCAUUCAACUAUCUAGCUACUGCUACACGCUCUAACAUUACACAUCCAGCAGACUAUAUUCACUUCAUUUCUUUCUAGUUUUUCCAAAUCCUAUGUAUCUAAGGCCCACAUCUUGCUAACAUGUACAAUUGGACUUUGUACAAAAUCAGCACGCAAUCUGCUCUUUACAUUUAACAGACAUUCCCUUUGUUGCCAGUAAAAGCAAUAUCACCCUGAACUUCUCCCAACUUCUUCUUACUCUGAAUACUGUACCUUCAUAAUUCCUACCCCUACUGGUCAUUAGGUCAUGUAGGUAACAAAAACUGUCAGUUACAGUAAUCUUUCUGAUCACUGGAAGGAAUUUAUUUUGGGCAUAGUGUUAUUACUAAAUACUCCUGUGCAUCUCCUGUCACAUACCAGUAAUCUUUCUGAUCACUGGAAGGAGUUUAUUUUGGGCAUAGUGUUAUUACUAAAUACUCCUGUGCGUCUGUCACAUACAAAGUCUACCUUCUCUAUUUUACAGCAUGUGCCCACAGUUCACACUACGUACAAAGUAUGAAAUUCCUACCUACUUGUUCAUAUUACGCACAGCAACUUACUUGAUGGUAACAGGAUUCUAUAUUCUUUCCUACUUAUUAAAAGUUUAGUGUUUAAAGGUUUACUGUGAAGUCUCUUGCCUCUAGAUUUUGUUUUUAGAUCUGAAAUUUCUUAUCUAAAUCUUAUCCAGAUUCAGCUGUAAGAAAUAUGUCAUUAACUUAAAGACCUUUAUAUAGAGAGCCAGUUUUAAAUUCUACUGUCAUGAUCUGUAAGACUACUAUAAACAUGUAGGGGCUGAUGAAUGAACCCUGAUAGACCCUACAUAUGUACUAAACACAUUGCUGAAUUCAUUGGAAACUCUCACUUUACAUACUGUACCUCAGUACAUGGCUUGUAUGGAUUACACAAGCCAGUUCUCUAUUCCUAGCUUUCUUAGAAACCAUCAGAUUAUAGAAUGUGUAACUCUGACAAAGCCAUCACCAGAGCAACAAAUGCUAGGCAUAGGGUUUUACUUCUACCUAGGGACUUCUGAAGUUGUCUCAGUAGGAAGGUGGCAUUGAUAGUAUCAUAUCCUGGCACAAAACUGAAUUGCACUUUGUCUAAGCUAAUUCUCUUCUUAGGCAAUUAUAUUAUAACUCUUUCCUUAACUAAUUUAACCUGGUGUAACAAUUUGAUGCUCCAGUAAUUUCUUUCUCAAGAGCAUCUUCUCUGCCCUUAUAGCAGAGGAUAAUGAUACUGCUUAGCCAAUCAUUGGGUACAACACUUUUCUAUAAUACCUGAUUGACUUAUGUGAAUGACUAACAUGUGAUUUAUUUUGUGAGAUGUUUUAAUCAUUCAUCAACGUUUCCUGAAGAACCAGCUGCCUUCUCUACCUUCAUUUCCUUAAUUGUGCUUGCAGCCAUACUGCUAUCAACUCGAAUCUUGAAGGUGUUAAGAGAUAUAACAAAUAAAAACUAAAUGAUGACAAAAUUGAAUACAUCAUCUUGUUUAUUACAGUGUUAAAAUUAUUCAAAUUAUAAGAAUAAGAAUGUUUCAGUUUCCCUGUUAAAAUGUAUUUAUCAAAAUGCAGAAUAAAAAAUUAUUUUAUAUUAUUUACAUUGUUUACAUUCGAUGGAUAUUUGUCCUCAUCUUGUUUGUUGUUAAUACAAAGUUUUAGCAGAUAUACCCUCCAGCCUUCUUCAGGUGUCUUGGGGAAAUUUCGAACCUGGGUUCUCAUUCCUAAGGUAUUUUUCGAUGUUAUUAUUAUUAUUAUGCCCACAGGCAUAUGGCAUAAUGGUUAAGAGCAUGGGCUACUAACCCCAAGAUUCUGAGUUUGAUUCCAAGCAGUGACUUGAACAAUAACAAUAAUAAUAAUAAUAAUAAUAAUAACAUCGAAAAAUACCUUAGGAAUGAGAACCCAGGUUUGAAAUUUCCCCCCAAGAUACCUGAAGAAGGCUGGAGGGUAUAUCAGUCGAAACGUUGUGUUAACAACAAGAUGAGGACAAAUAUCCAUCAAAUGUAAAUAAUGUAAAUAAUGUACAUAAUUCUUCAUCCCUUAACCCUUUAGUGUUCAGAUUAUUCUAUCAAACAUAAUGCUUAUUGAUACACAUUGAUUUCAAUUAAUCAUGCAUUAUCUCAUAUCUUCAAGAUGUUGAUGGUAUAAUUACUUAACGUAGUAUAACAUUGUAGGGUAGGUGUGAGGGACCUGGAUCUGGUCAGUUUGAACAUAAAACAGAUUAACUAUUUUGGCCGGAUAUGGCCGGUUUAAAUACUAAAGGGUUAAAUAUAGAACUGGAAAAAUUAUUAUGUUUACUUGAGUAAAUCCUUUUUGGAGGGUUCUCUUAGCUUCUCUGACAGUUAUAUCAAAGUCAUAAAUUCAGAAAUCUAAUAAACAAUAACCUGAGUAGAAUUUCACAUCAGUUCCUAGCUUUUUCACCAGUUCCUAGCUUUUUCACACACACACACACACACAUACACACACACAAAAAACUAUUCUGAAACAGUGACUAAACUCCUAAUAGUUAGGAAUAUAAAAUCCAUUCCAUCUUUGAUAUCAAAUGAAAAGGAGGAAAUUUUUAGCUGAUAAAAUAUAACAGAUAUUAAGCUCAAAUGUAUAUUAUCAACUUGCAUUACCAUUUGAAAAGACUCUACUCAUAGCAAACUUCCAAAUGUAUACAUCUUAUUGACAUGUUCGAAAUGCUAAAUAUUUCAAGAAAAUUAUAAAGCUAUGCAAUCAAUAUUCAUUAUCUACACACCUACCAAAACACUUCUGAUAAUAGUAAUAAUCAAUAAACAAUAUUUUCCCAAAAUCCCACUUGGCAACUCUUAUCAUAAUUUCACUAAAUCAAAUAUAUUAGAUACUCUUCCAUAAUACACAUAAAUUGAUUAUAUUCCAUGGAUUACCAAAGUAAUGAUUUUUACAGAUCAAUAGUAUCAAAAUAUGGCAAUGAAAUUCUUAUUUUUUUUAUCUUGCGCUAAUAUACCAUCCAGUGAUACCUAUCUGACAUUUACAUUUUAGUAUGUUUAUGUGUUUGCAUCUAUAAAAAUAUAAACCAAGAUCUUUGGAAAAGAAAAGUGAAAGUUGUGAUCUUCAUAGCAUUAGCAAUUUAUUCGAUUUGAAAUGACUUCAACAAAAAAAAACAAAAAACAAGGCUAAUUUAUGAUCUCAGAAUACCAAAAACAUAGGAAUUCUUUAUUUAGAAUACUCUUUACUCUUUUACUCUUUUACUUGUUUCUGUCAUUUGACUGCGGCAAUGCUGGAGCACCGCCUUUACUCGAGCAACUCGACCCCCAGGACUUAUUCUUUUGUAAGCCUAGUACUUAUUCUAUCGGUCUCUUUUUGCCAAAGCGCUAAGUAACGGGGACAUAAACACACCAGCAUCGGUUGUCAAGCAAUGCUAGGGGGACAAACACAGACACACAAACACAUACACGCACACACAUAUAUAUAUAUACAUAUAUACGACGGGCUUCUUUCAGUUUCCGUCUACCAAAUCCACUCACAAGGCUUUGGUCGGCCCGAGGCUAUAGUAGAAGACACUUGCCCAAGGUGCCACGCAGUGGGACUGAACCCGGAACCAUGUGGUUGGUAAACAAGCUACUUACCACACAGCCACUCCUGCGCCUAUAUUGUUUAUUGGUUUUUUUUUAUCUAAUUUUGUGUGUGUGUGUGUCUCUCUCUCUUUACAUGCACACAUAUUUAGAUGUACAAAUACAAAAAGAAUAUUUAGAAGAAUUUAUUCACAUAAGCUCAUUCAAAACUGAGGCUUUAUUCCGUUGCUACUGUGAUGUAUGCUAAAAUUCAAGAUUUUUCUAGAGAUAUAAAGACAAAGAGGAUGGAGAACAAUUUUGUCUAAAAUUAUCAUCAAUUAGUACAAUGAUAAUUUUUCAGACAAACCUAUGUUUAGAUAUGAAGAGCUAUUUUAGUAUUGAUAUCAUCAGAUUGCAUUUUGAUUGGUUUGAUCUUCAAUUAUCAUUAAAUAUCUAAUUUCUGGAUAUGUGAAGAGUACCUGUCUGGAUUCAAAACUUCAUUUCUAAACAGAGAUACUGAUGCAUAUAUCACAAUUAGAUACUGACAGAUUAAAUACCAUGGAAACAUUUUCUCUGAGACUGAAACAGUGAUUCUUAUAUUUUAAAGAUAAGAUGUAACUGUUAAGUUUUAGUGUGUGAACACUUUGAGAGAUGACAUUUAUGAAAUGAAAUAUUAACUGAUUCUGAAUGUUCCAGAGAAUUCUUUUAUUCUUUUAUUCUUUUACUUGUUUCAGUCAUUUGACUGCGGCCAUGCUGGAGCACCGCCUUUAAUCGAGCAACUCGACCCCGGGACUUAUUCUUUUGUAAGCCCAGUACUUAUUCUAUCGGUCUCUUUUUUCCGAACCGCUAAGUACAGGGACAUAAACACACCAGCAUCGGUUGUCAAGCAAUGCUAGGGGAACAAACACAGACAUACAAACAUACACGCACACACAUAUAUAUAUAUAUAUAUAUAUAUAUAUGACGGGCUUCUUUCAGUUUCCGUCUACCAAAUCCACACACAAGGCUUUGGUCGGCCCGAGGCCAUAGCAGAAGACACUUGUCCAAGGUGCCAUGCAGUGGGACUGAACCCGGAACCAUGUGGUUGGUAAGCAAGCUACUUACCACACAGCCACUCCUGCACCUAAGAAUAAGACUCUUAUUGAUGGUGCCUCGUCAAUUAAGUAUAAAAAUAGCUUCAAAUUUAAAACUGAGCAAAACUGUCUUUAUAAAUUGCAUAUUGCCCUGAACAUCACUGUAUAGUACAAGCAACUUCAGAGUGCCUAAAGUCCCACUCUCUUCAACCUGAGUUAGGAGCAGAGGUUCAAAGCAUCGUAUUUCUUUAGUAUCUUUCUGCAAAACAUGAGGAUCUGCAUGGAGUAAAUACCGAUGAGUGAAAGAGAAACAACACUUAAAAAUUGUAUGGUAAAAGAGCCCAAAUGAACAUGAUGAUGGAAGCACUCCAUCGGUUACGACGACGAGGGUUCCGGUUGAUCCGAAUCAACGGAACAGCCUGCUCGUGAAAUUAACGUGUAAGUGGCUGAGCACUCCACAGACACGUGUACCCUUAACGUAGUUCUCGGGGAUAUUCAGCGUGACACAGAGAGUGACAAGGCCGGCCCUUUGAAAUACAAGUACAACAGAAACAGGAAGUAAGAGUGAGAGAAAGUUGUGGUGAAAGAGUACAGCAGGGAUCACCACCAUCCCCUGCCGGAGCCUCGUGGAGCUUUAGGUGUUUUCGCUCAAUAAACACUCACAACGCCCGGUCUGGGAAUCGAAACCGCGAUCCUAUGACCGCGAGUCCGCUGCCCUAACCACUGGGCCAUUGCGCCUCCAAAUGAACAUGCAACACAAUAAGAGAUUGAUAUAAAAGAAAUAAUAUUAAACACCCUCAUUCAUCAAUUAUUUAAUUGAGAACAAAGGCUCCAACAGCAUCAAUGAAAGUUCCCCAACAUGACCACCACAAACUGGUUGAAAGCAGCAAAAGUGUAAAAGAGAAUUUAUGCAGUUGGCUUUCCAAGUCAUAUGACUUAUUGAAUUUUCAUUGCAUGUUGUUUGAAGAAGAUAUCGAAUGCAAAUGGUGUGAAUGAAAAUCUAUCAGUCUGAAUUCUCAUUUAUUAUUGAUUUAUUACAUAGGCAUAAAAGAGCCGAAAAUUGCCAGCAAAGAAGUAAUGAGAGUGUGUAAUCUUCUGUGUCUUCUUGAAAGACAUUAGUAAUGCAGAGACAAUGAAUUCGCUAAAUAUCAGAAAUAAAAGGUAGGUCAGUCACAUUUAAGGCUUGCUUAAUGCUCACCCUAGGCCUGCUGCUGCUCAGUAUCCCUUUGUGUUUCUUACUACACACACACACACACACAUACAUGAGUAAACCUAAUCAAGUAGACUGCAUAAUGAGCAAACUAUUUGAAAAAAUAUACAUUGUUCACAUGACUUUCUAAUUGUUCUUCUGAUUUCUAGAACAUAUAUAUAUAUAUGGCAGGAGUGGCUGUGUGGUAAGUAGCUUGCUUAUGAACCACAUGGUUCCGGGUUCAGUCCCACUGCGUGGCAUCUUGGGCAAUUGUCUUCUACUAUAGCCUUGGGCCGACCAAAGCCUUGUGAGUGGAUUUGGUAGACGGAAACUGAAAGAAGCCUGUCGUAUGUAUGUAUAUAUAUAUAUAUAUAUAUAUAUAUAUGUAUGUUUGUAUGUUUGUGUGUCUGUGUUUGUCCCCCCUAGCAUUGCUUGACAACCGAUGCUGGUGUGUUUAUGUCCCCGUCACUUAGCAGUUCGGCAAAAAGAGACCGAUAGAAUAAGUACUGGGCUUACAAAAGAAUAAGUCCCGGGGUCGAGUUGCUCGAUUAAAGGCGGUGCUCCAGCAUGGCCGCAGUCAAAUGACUGAAACAAGUAAAAGUAAAAGUAAAGUAAAUAUAUAUAUAUAUAUAUAUAUAUAUAUAUAUAUAUAGCAAUAAUAAUUCUCUAAAAGGGAUAUAGACAGUAACUGCUCGAUAACAUAAGGGACUAAAGCCAUCUGAAUAUGGCUAGGGACAGGGCAGGGUGGUGGGGGUGUUACUGUUGCAUUUAGCCCCAGGCGAACAUCGACGUCACCAGAAAGGCUCGACACCGUCACGGUGCCCUAAACCUGCAAAGGGAGGUAAUCGGGGAAUUACCUCCCUUUGCAGGUUUAGGGCACCGUGACGGUGUCGAGCCUUUCUGGUGACGUCGAUGUUCGCCUGGGGCUAAAUGCAACAGUAACACCCCCACCACCCUGCCCUGUCCCUAGCCAUAUUCAGAUGGCUUUAGUCCCUUAUGUAUAUAUAUAUAUAUAUAUAUAUAUAUAUAUAUAUAUUUACAUACAACAAACUUCUUUCUGUUUCCAUCUACCAAAUCCACUCACAUGCCUUAGAUCAGCCUGAGGCUAUAGUAGAAGACAUUCACCCAAGUUGUCAUGCAGUGGGACUGAACCCGGAACCAUGUGUCUGGGAAGCAAGCUUCUUACCUUCCAACCACACCCUAUAUAUGUAUAUAUGUGUGUGUAUGUAUAUAUAUAUAUCAUAUAAUAUCAUGUAUAUAUUCUUUUAUUCUUUUACCUGUUUCAGUCAUUUGACUGUGGCCAUGCUGGAGCACCACCUUUAGUUGAGCAAAUCGACCCCAGGACUUACUUAUUCCUUGUUAGCCUAGCACUUAUUCUAUUGGUCUCUUUGGCUGAACCACUAAGUUACAGGGACAUAAACACACCAGCAUUAGUUGUCAAGCGAUUGGGGUGGGGGAAAAACACACACAUAUAUUAAUAUACAUACAUAGAUAUAUAAAUAUAUAUAUAUAUAUAUAUAUAUAUAUAUAUAUAUAUAUAUAUAUAUAUAUAUAUAACGGACGUUAAACGACGAUGAUGAUGAUGAUGAUGAUAUAUAUAUAUAUAUUUAUAUAUACACACAUACAUAUAUAUAUAUAUAUAUAUACACAGGUGGUGUAUAUUUACCAGGUGGUGCUAUUAAGUUAGACAUGGUCUGGGCCAAUAAUGGCCGAAACCUAUCAAAGUAUCAAAGUAUCAAAGUAAAGUACACAUACACACACACACACACACACACACACAUAUAUAUAUAUAUAUAUAUAUAUAUAUACAAUGAGCUUCUUUCACUUUCCAUCUAACAAAUCCACUCACAAAGCAUGGAUUUGGCAGAUGGAAACUGAAAGAGGCCCACCGAAUAUAUGUAUAUGUCUAUAUAUCAUGGACUCUCCCAGUGUUGGAUGAUGAAUGAGGGUUCGGCAGUUUCCCAUCAACUACACAGAUGAUUUGUUUAUAGUGAUCAAAUGGUUGUGUUCACCUAAGCUCACUCCCUCCAUCAUAUCGACAUGACCUGUACAGGCACACCAUGUACCACAUGUCAGAUGAUGAAAUGAUCACAGAGCAACAUGAAAUGAAGUGCUUUGCUCAACAACACAAUGCAACAUCCAGUCUGGGUAUCAAACCCAUGAUCGCACAGUUGUGAGCACAACAUCCCAACCACUAAGCCAUGCACAUUCACACACACACACACACACACACAAGUAUACUCUUUUACUCUUUUACUUGUUUCAGUCAUUUGACUGCGGCCAUGCUGGAGCACCGCCUUUAGUCGAGCAAAUCGACCCCGGAACUUAUUCUUUGUAAACCCAGUACUUAUUCUAUCAGUCUCUUUUGCCGAACCGCUAAGUGACGGGGACGUAAACACACCAGCAAGGUUGUCAAGCAACGCUAGGGGGACAAACACAGACACACAAAUAUAUACACACACAUACAUACAUAUAUAUAUAUACAUAUAUACGACAGGCUUCUUUCAGUUUCCGUCUACCAAAUCCACUCACAAGGCAUUGGUCGGCCCGGGGCUAUAGCAGAAGACACUUGCCCAAGAUGCCAUGCAGUGGGACUGAACCCGGAACCAUGUGGUUGGUUAGCAAGCUACUUACCACACAGCCACUCCUGUGCCUAUAGUAUAUAUAUGAAUGUAUGUCAUUGUGUCUCUGUUGUCCCACCACCACUUGACAACCAGUGAUAGUGUGUUUACAUCCCUGUGACUUAGAGGUUUGGCAAAAGAAAUUGAUAGAAUAAGUAACCAGACUUUAAAAAAAACUAAGUACUGGAGCUGAUAGAUUCGACUAAAAAUUCUUCAAGGCAGUGCUAGAAUCUAAUGACUGAAACUUGUAAAAAAUAAAAGAUAUAUAAAUACACCUGUUUAUCUAUCUAUCUAUCUAUCUAUCUAUCUAUCUAUCUAUCUAUCUAUCUAUCUCUCUCUAUAUAUAUAUAUAUAUAUAUACACACACAUACAUACACAUCAUAUAUGUCUAUAUCUAUCUACACAUACGUAUAAAUCUAUCUAUCUUUAUAUAUAUAUAUAUAUAUAUAUAUAUAUAUAUAUAUAUAUAUAUAUAUAUAGAUAGAUAAAUACAUAGAUAGAUAGAUAGAGAGAGAGAGAGAGAGAGAGAGAGUUAGGCAGAUAAAUUUUUUUCUUCUGCAGUUUCAUCUCAGAGCUGCGGUGGCCAUGCUGAUGCACCGCUGUUUGAAUGUAUAUAGUUGUCCAAUAAGUUUUGCUCAAGUAAAAAAAAAAAGCCAUUUAUAUAUAUUCAAAGAUGUGGAUGUUGACUGUGUUUUUUCAUCCGCGAGUUUCAUCCCAGUUUUCUUUUUGACAUCACUCCAACUCAUAAAUGAAAUGUCGCAUUUUCAGAUCUCAAGUAAAAAAGACACCAACCUACAUUCAUGCUUUCUGUCACGUCUGAUCUCCCUAAAUUUACAUUUUUAUACUUGGAAUGUUCUUUAACAUCAAACCAUUUGGUAAUAUGAAUCAGUUGUUAUGAGACCAAUACUGUAUAAGUAAUACACAUAUGUACAUGCACAUAUACGUACACAGUUAUACACAUACAUACAUAUGUAUGUAUGUACUUGUAUAUGUGUGUGUGUAUAUAUAUAUAUAUAUAUAUAUAUAUAUAUAUAUAUAUAUAUAUAUACAUAUAUAUUCAUACAUAUAUAUACAUAUAUAUAUAUGCAUGUACAUGUGUGUGUGUAUAUGUAUGUAUGUAUAUAUGUAUGUUUGUAUGUCUGUAUGUAUGCUUGUGAAUGCAAAGUCCUACAUAGGUGAAAAAUGUAGAACCCACUAUUGUUUAGUGGUUAGUGAUUUCAGAUAUAGAGUUUAAAGGACUCAGAGACACAAACCAGUGUGGAAAAGAAAAUUAUGGAAGCAUAAAUGUACAGUGAACAGUCAUAAAUUUAGAGAAGUAAUAGUUGGUGCAUUUGAAAAAGAGGAGAUGAUAAGGAUGUAUAUAACUCAGAGGAGAACUAGAAGCUCCGACAUGACAACCCGCUGAGAGCAAUGGAGCAAAUCAGAGGCUUGUGCAAAGUUCUAGCCAGAUCAAAGGUGACACAGUGGCGGAAUAGUGAGGUAAACAGAGCCAUUAAAGCAAAGAGUCAGAAAUGGAAACACUAGAAAAAUGAAGGCAUGAAAGAAUUAUAUCAGGGAGCUAGAAGAGGUGUACAUAGCAAUGGAAGAAUUAGAAAGGAAAAGGUUUGCCAAAGUUUUAAAGUGAGAGGCUCUGAGGCAUAUAGUGUUCCAGAUUGGAAAACUGUAUCAAAGAGACUUGAGGGUCCAAGAUGUGGGUGAGAAGUGUGUUGAUGAAUAAUGGUACACUUGCAGACAGGGAUACUGAGAAGAAAGAAGCAUGAAAUUGCUACUAUAAAGGCUAUUAAAUAUGGCCAAUCCAUGAGAGAAAGAGGGUCUUUCCAAUAUGAACCCAACAGAGGGACCAUCUAUCAACUGUAGUGUUACUGAUAAGGCAAUUAAGGAUAUGAAGGUGGAGAAAGCCACUAGUCCAUCAAGAAGCAUCACUGAGAUGCUUGAAAUAUCUGCCAGUGUGGAAUAUGGCCUAGUCAUUCAUAUAGUUAAUCAGGUCAUACAGGAAGAUGUUAUACACAAACUGGCAUAGCAGCAUUAAAGUCAACUGUUAUAGGGAUAAAGGAGAUGUCUGAGAUGUAAUUACAGAGGUAUAAAAUUGUUGAACCAGGUCACAAAAGUUACCAAAAAAAUUAUAGCCCAAUUAAUUAGGAAGAGAAUCAGAUUAGAUAAGAUACAGAUUGAUUUUGUGUCAAAGAUAAGUACUAGCGAUACCCUCUUUCUUGUAAGACAACUUCAGGAAAAGUAUUUAGCUCACAUAAAACAAUUGUACCUUGCAUUCAAUGAUCUAAAGAAAGAUUUUUACAGGCUUUCUGAUGUUGCGAUCUACUGGUCUCUGAGGAAGCUACGUAUUGACAGGGAUGGUGUCAGUAAGAUGUGUGUUUACAAGUACAGAAACAGAUUCAACGUAAAGAUAGGAGUUCACCAGGAUUGGUGCUUGGUCCCAUCCUUUCCAUUAUAAUCCUUCCAGCCAUAACAGAAAUUAAAGACUGGUAGCCGUUUUGUGAACUACUAUAUACUGAUAACCAUUCUUAUAGUGGAAUCUGAAACAGAUUAAGAAAAUUAAUUCCAGGUGUGGAAGCAAAACCUGGAAUGAAAGGGGCUUAGAAUUAACUUAGAGAAAAAUCAAACUUCUAGUCAGCAGGAAAACACAUAAGACUCUUCUCCCUUCAGGAAAAUAGCUCCACACCUUAUAUAGAAAGGUGUAUGCAGAAGUUCCAUAAAGUGUAUUCAGUGCAAGCUAUGGACAAACAAGAGGUGCAGUUGGAUCAUAAGAAGGUUACAGAGAAAGCAGACUUUGUGGCAAAUGUACAAAAGCAAUAACCACUAAGAACACACACAGAAAUAGAUUCCCUUGAAUGCCUAGAAGAUUUACUGGCGGUAGUAGCUAGUUUCUGCUACUUAGGUGACCUAAUCAGCAGUGGAAGAUGUUCUCAAAAGAUAGUUGCUAGAAGGAGAACCAAAUGGAGAAAGUUAAGAGAAUUAUUACCUCUGUUGAUAACAAAAGUUCUUUCUUGCGAAAAAGAAAAGCAAAUUGUAUACUUGUGGACAAACAGUAAUGCAACACAGUAGCAAGACAUGAACCCUAAAUGCAGAAGACAUUAAAAAGCUAGAAAAGAAUGAAGCUUGUAUAUUCUGCUUGAUGUGAAGUGUUAUAAUGCACAUACGACAAAGAGCAAAUGGAGGAAAUGACAAAAGACUUGACAAUGAUAAAUAGUGAGGCACUGAGAGUGAAGCUCUUGUGAACUCCUACUAACACAAUAAAUUUGUUGUGGUUCUCAUUAACUCCCAGCUUACUAACAGCACCUCUACUUAUGGUUAGGAUGGCCCUCUCCAGGUAUUCUUAGUUUUCAUUGUGAUCAUUAGAUCAAGAAAGAAAUCUUAUUGUAGGCUUUCUCAAGAUUUACAAAAGCCGAGUACAACAUGAAAGGUUCAUUGGGAUCACAGGAAAGUUGACAUAGAAAGUAAAUUUUGCAUGUAGCAGAAGCACAAGACCAAGAAACACUAAGGACAAAUGGGAAACAGAUGUUCUUGAAUGCCCUGGAGUGAUGUCAAUGUUGUUUAUGACAUUUUGGUUAGAAAAAAUAUACAGCUUAGAGUAAAUGCAGCAUUCAAAUCUUACAGGUAAUAGAACAACUUUUAUCUAUUUUCUUUUAUACAAUACUGUAUAUUUAAUCAUUAAAGUAUGAGUGCCAUUCUUGCAUGGGUCAGAUGAAAUUUGUUGAGGGGGAUUUUCUAUAGAUGGUUGCACUUCCUGUCACCAACCCUCAUGUGUUUGCAAGAAAAGUAAUAUUUCCCAAUGACAAAAUAUAUAUAAGAAGAUAGGAAACAAAGGAUACCACCAGCACGAUGGUGACGCUUGAUUACAACUAUCACGUUCAUGUCAAGGUAAGGGAACAGUAACAUAAACUCACCUAUCUCUGUGUGUGUAAGAUAGAGAGAGAAAGAGUGAGAGAGAGAGAAAGAUGGGAUUCUGUCCACCAUAUCCACUUAAAAAGCCUCAGUUGGAGCAGGGCUAUUGUAGAAGACACUUGCCCAAAGAACCAUGCAUUCCCUAUAUCUCAUCAUCAGUCACUCAGUGAACUUACCUACACAUCCACUUUUUCUGGUUCUAUAUCCUAUUCUGUCUCAUAUUCACUAUGUACCUGUUCCUCACAUCACUUUCUCUCUCUUUUCAGGUGAACAAGUUAUCUAUUCACCUCUUCAGCAAGACACUUACUCCUAUCCCUCUAUUUAAUAGCACAUUUAGUUGAUGGGCCCUGUCAUGUGGGUACUUGGUGAUGUCACUGGUGCUGGUGCCACAUAAAAAGCACCCAGUACACUCUUAAGUCAACAUUAGGAAGGACAUCUAGCAGACAUAGAACCUGGUGCAGCCUUCUGACCUGCCUUUUCUUGCUGAACCAUGCAACCCAUGCCAGUAGGGUAAAGGGGCUGCAAAUGAUGAUGCGAUACUAUAUAUAUUGUAUACUCUUUUACUCUUUUACUUGUUUCAGUCAUUUGAUUGCAGCCAUGCUGGAGCACCGCCUUUAGUCGAGCAAAUCGACCCCGGGACUUAUUCUUUGUAAGCCCAGUACUUAUUCUAUCGGUCUCUUUUGCUGAACCGCUAAGUGACGGGGGAUGUAAACACACCAGCAUCGGUUGUCAAGCAAUGCUAGGGGGACAAACACAGACACACAAACACAAACACAUACAUAUAUAUAUAUAUAUAUAUAUAUAUAUACUCAUGGAGUGGUUGGCGUUAGGAAGGGCAUCCAGCCGUAGAAACAUUGCCAGAUCAGACUGGGCCUGGUGCAGCCUUCUGGCUUCCCAGACCCCAGUUGAACUGUCCAACCCAUGCUAGCAUGGAAAGUGGACGCUAAACGAUGAUGAUGAUGAUGAUGAUGAUAUAUAUAUAUAUACGACAGGCUUCUUUCAGUUUCCGUCUACCAAAUCCACUCACAAGGCAUUGGUCGGCCCGGGGCUUUAGCAGAAGACACUUGCCCAAGAUGCCACACAGUGGGACUGUGCCCGGAACCAUGUGGCUGGUUAGCAAGCUACUUACCACACAGCCACUCCUGCACCUCUGUAUAUACACUAUUUGUAUAUAUUAUGUAAAGAUAUAUUUAUAUAUAUUAAUAUAUCUUUUUAUAUAUAUUUUACAUAUACUAUGAAGCUGCAGGACUUACUGGUUUGGGCAUUGCACUCACAAUCGUAAGAUCCCUGGACUAGGUGGUGCAUUGUGGCCUUCAGCAAAACCACUUCAUUUCACAUUGCUCCUGUCCACUCAGCUAAAAAUGAGUACCAGCAAUAGUGGUGGGGAGUGGGUGUUAACACUGCAAUGGAUCUGUAUCCCAUUCAGUGGGGUGUGUUGUAAUCUCAGUUACUAAAAUGCCAUGGAAACCGGGUUCUUCAGCAUUAUGAGUCCUACUGCUAUUGCCAGACCUGAGCCCUACAUAUGUAUUAAUAACAUAAUUAUAACUACUAUUAUCUCUCUCUCUCUCUCUUUCUCUCUCUCUUUAUCUAUCUAUCUAUGCCAAAGCACACAACCUAAAACAUUAUGGAACUAGGACAUUAAGUAAUGAUAUAUAUAUAUGCACACACACGCACACGCACAACCAUAUGUGUGUAUGUGCAUAUGUGUGGGUAAAUGUGACCUCGUGAGUACCACUGGCGAUUUUUUCCCUCUGUCUUCCCUUCUCGGGAUCUUUCCUUCUCCUAUGUUUCCGACGAAGAGCUCCGCUCGAAACGUUAAACCCUCCUUCUUCCCUUCUUUCCUGAGCGUCCAAUAAUACUUUAUUUGUUCCACGUCCUCGCGUUGUUGUGUUUUUUUUUGUGUUUUUUUGUGGGUUUUUUUUUGUGUUUUCUUGUUUGGAUUAACUUUAUACAUACAUAUAUAUAUAUAUAUAUAUAUAUAUAUAUAUAUAUAUAUAUAUAUAUAUAUAUAACGGGAAGCUUUAUGAAAAUAGACAAAAGAUGAAGGCAGGUUUACGGAAAUAAACAAAAGACGAAGGCAGGUGGAAUACAAACAAUAAUCCUCUAUUUACCUAAUAUCGAGGUCUCAGUCUUUUAAUUGUCACCUCUUAUCAUUAUUAUUAUACACACACACACACACACUUAUAUGCUUGGUGCUUACCUUAAUUCUUUGCAUAUCAUAGUGCUUUAUCUUCUAUCUUUCCAAUUCCCCUUUCUGAUCAUAUGCUCUAAUCUGUCUAGAACUUUCUAUGACUACAUUCACUCCUAUAUUCCUAAUUCUGCAAUAAUCAUUCCAUCCCCUUCUGUGUGGGUGUUCUAUCAUCUUUCUCUUUCCAGAUUCACAUUUACCUGUGUACAAGCUCGCCCCACUUCAUCUACUCUUUACUCUUACUCUCUCUUUUACUCUUUUACUUGUUUCAGUCAUUUGACUGCGGCCAUGCUGGAACACCGCCUUUAGUCGAGUACUUAUUCUAUCGGUCUCUUUUGCCGAACCGCUAAGUGACAGGGACGUAAACACACCAGCAUCGGUUGUCAAGCAAUGCUAGGGGACAAACACAGACACACAAACACACACACACAUACAUAUAUAUAUAUAUAUAUAUAUACAUAUACACGACAAGCUUCUUUCAGUUUCCGUCAACCAAAUCCACUCACAAGGCAUUGGUCGGCCCGGGGCUAUAGCAGAAGACACUUGCCCAAGAUGCCACGCAGUGGGACUGAACCCGGAACCAUGUGGUUGGUUAGCAAGCUACUUACCACACAGCCACUCCUGCGCCUUUACUCUUCACACUGUAAAGUAAAGUGAUUGGCUAAAUCAGCAUUGAAAGUGUAAAGUUACGAGGUCUUUCUAGUCCUGUAUCAUUAAGGACUAAUCAACUUCUUUUGUGAUAAUGGCAUAAGUGCAUGCACACUGCACACUCUGUGAAGUGUUUAACAUUAAGAAGGGCAUCCAGUCACAGAAACCAAACUAAAUUUUACUUAUGAGUACCUAGUCAUCGUAAGCUGUAACUCUCAAUGAGAGACAACUUGGACUGUGAAGACCCUUCCAAUCUAUGCUAGCAUAGAAAGAUGAACAUGAUAAUGAUGAUGACAAUGAUAGUAGAUGAUAUCUAUUUAUCCAUCUCUCUGUACACAUGUCUGUGCAGUGUGUGCCUGUGUGUAUCUGCGUGUAUGUGUCUGUGUGCAUGUGUAUGUGUAUUUAUGUAUAUAUCCAAGUAGCUAUUUAUAUUAAAUGCUUUUAUACCAGGAGUGGCUGUGUGGUAAGUAGCUUGCUUACCAACCACAUGGUUCCGGGUUCAGUCCCACUGUGUGGCAUCUUGGGCAAGUGUCUUCUGCUAUAGCCCCGGGCCGACCAAUGCCUUGUGAGUGGAUUUGGUAGACAGAAACUGAAAGAAGCCUAUCGUAUAUAUGUAUAUAUAUAUAUAUAUAUACGUAUGUGUGUGUAUAUGUUUGUGUGUUUGUCCCCCUAGCAUUGCUUGACAACCGAUGCUGGUGUGUUUACGUUCCUGUCACUUAGCGGUUCGGCAAAAGAGACCGAUAGAAUAAGUACUGGGCUUACAAAGAAUAAGUCCUGGGGUCGAUAUGCUCGACUAAAGGCGGUGCUCCAGCCUGGCCGCAGUCAAAUGACUGAAACAAGUAAAAGAGUAAAAGAGUAAGAGUAUACCAACCUACCCAAGACCACCUCUGUUACAAAACACCUCAUUUAGAUGUUCCUAUUUAGAUUAAAACAUUUCUUCAUAAAUUUAUGCCAAAUCUCUUUGCUAAAUUAUGUUUCAAGCACCAACUUAAUUAUAGCAAAUUCAUUUAAUUUUAUUAAAAUCAUUCAAAUUCUAGAUUAUUCUUGAAAUUAUUUGAAAUACACAAGUAGUGUGCUUCAUUACGAACACAGCUACAAAACUAUAGACAUACUACAGUAUUCCUUCAGAGUAAUAUUAACAUAUUACAGUAUUCAUGGUCUGUAUGUUGUCCUGGAGUUAAGGACAACAUAUAAAUCAGUGAUAUUUAUAUAAUUGAAUAAUACAUAAAUUAAAGCUGUCCUUAGCAUCACUUAUUAAAUAGCUACUUCAAAGGAAUUUAUUUUCACAAUGUCCUCAGAUUAGAUUAAGGAGAAGUUAUGUUUUUAAACUUCAAUCACUAUAUUAUUUUCUUUCUAUUGUAUUCAAAUCAAUAAAAACAUCAUCAAUUUUUUUUUAAUGUUGUAAAAGAAAAUUUUACUCGAACGAGUAGCAUUUCUGAAGCAUUUCGGAUAUGCAUUGUUAAAUUAAAGCAUCAUGGUUAGAACUAUAAUUUUUAUAUUAAAUGCACUAAAGCGAGAGUUCAAGAUGUAUAUUUCCAUCAAUACAUUCACUGUGGUAUAUUGUUUUGUAUUGGUCGCCUUUUUAGUCUUACUACUGCUACUACUUAAUGUACAGACAAUCCAUGCUCAUACUUUAGUGUAGCAGUCAUUGCUGUAGUCUUUCUACUAUUUUACAUGCUUAAAAUUUGGUGCUGUCAUGAAGCAGUUAAUCAUUUUUGAUUUAGCAAUACUUCUUAUACUGUAAAAACAUCUCUUGAAUACCUGUAAUUUACAAGUUCAUCAAAUCUAUCAUUGAUGAAAAAUGUAUAAAAAUAUUAAGCUUGAUAUGGUUAUUGCCUUAAAUAAAUACACCCCAUCAUAUAUUAAAUAAAAUGAUACAUAUACGACAACAUUAAUGAUGAUUUAUGAUCUGCCACCAUGCAGAGAGGUUUUGGAUGCAUGUGUAUACAUACAUAUGUCUGAGUGUAUGUGUAAAUGAGUGUGUGUGUGUGUGUGUGUGUGUGUGUGUGUGUGUGUGUGUGUGUGUGUGUGUGUGUGUGUGUGUGUGUGUGCGUGCGUGUGAGAGAACGUGUGCGUGUGUGCAUGCACGUGAUUCGUUUCAGUAGAUAUGAUGGUCACCUUAGUUAUCAAUUAUAAAUCAAUAUUUUGGGGUUUGACUUUGACUGAUUUACCUGUAUGGAGAGCAUAAUUAAAUAAAACAAAAUGAUCACAAUUACAAUUAAUUCUACUUAAUGAUGAUGAAUUUGUAAAAUACAGGGUAAUAUCUAUCAUAGUGCAAGUAUUCAUUGAUAUUGUAAUUACAAAAUAUCUAUUUUGAUUUUCAAAAAAACAGAGAGAGACAGGGAGAAAGAGAGAGAGGGGAAAGGGAGAGAGGGAGUGAGAGAGAUUAGAAACUUCAUACCAAGUGAAAUAAACUAUUUAAUCUUAACAUACACUCCAAUUUUGAAAUAGAAAUUUAACACAAAAUUAAAUGCCAAAUUUAUUAUAUUUUCAUUUUUUGCAAGAAAAAGACAAUUAUCUUUAUAUAAUGGAAAGAAUAAUUCUAAAUAUGACCUACUUUUACCUUAAAUUAUGAGUGAUAGACUAUAAUGUGAUAGAGAUAUUUAUGGUACCCGGCCACUUUUAUUUCCAGUUAUGGUGGUGAAUGUGGUGUAAAUUUUUCACAAAUAUAUUACUUGGUUGAAUAAAAUAUAUCAUUGUUAAUAAACAGAAUAUAUGGUAGGUGAAAUUUAUCACAUUUAUCACAAAAUAAAAUUGACAACAGCCAUAAUACUUGUUCCAUAUCUGCAUUAGAGUGGCAGUAGAAGGGGCAAGAAAGACUGGCAAGGAUGGGAAUAAUUGGACAAUGAUAGGUUACUGUGGCUGAUUUUCAUUAAUCCUGCAUUCGUUAAGUCAGUUAACCAUUAGAUACUAUUUCGAUAAAUAUUCUAAACUGAAUUGUGAAUAUUCAUAAUGAACAUAACAAAAGACAAAUAUAAUUAAUCUCUUAUGUUGUAAAAUCGAAAGUGGUUGUCAUUAAUUAUUUAGAGAUUGAUAUGUGCGUGUGUAUGUGUGUAUAUAUAAUAUAUACACACACACACUGUAUAUAAAUAUAUAUAUAUAUAGAUAUACAUACAUAUAUACACACACAUAUAUAUAUACACACAUACAUACGUACAUAUAUAUAUAUAUAUAUAUAUAUAUAUACAUACAUAUAUACAUAUAUAUAUAUAUAUACAUAUAUACAUAUAUAUAUAUAUAUAUAUACAUAUAUACAUACAUAUAUAUACAUACAUAUAUUAUACAUACAUAUAUAUAUAUAUACAUACAUACAUACAUACAUACAUACAUAUAUAUAUACAUACAUACAUACAUAUAUAUAUUUAUAUACAUAUAUAUAUAUAUAUAUAUACAUACAUAUAUAUAUAUAUGUAUAUACAUACAUACAUAUUUAUAUAUAUAUAUAUACAUACAUACAUACAUACAUAUAUAUAUAUAACGGGAAGCUUUAUGAAAAUAGACAAAAGACGAAGGCAGGUUUAUGGAAAUAUAUAUAUUGUCUCUCUUAGUAUAUAUAUAUAUUGUCUCUCUCAGUAUAUAUAUAUAUAUAUAUAUAUAUAUAUACAGAGAGAGACAGACAGAUAGAAAGCAAAGGCAAAUAACUUAGAGGUUAGGAUAUUAGGCUUAAAAUCAAAAGGUCACGGAGCUGAUUCCUGGACUGAGUGGUAUGUUGGGCUCAUAAGCAAAGCAAUUCAUUUCAUGAUACCCAAGUUAACUCAGCUGAAAAAGAGUGCUAGCAUCAGUUGGGAGCUAAGCUCGUAGCAGGCAAACAUCUCUUCAUGCAUAGGAGUAUAGAUGCACACACACACAUACAUAUACAGAUAGUGAUACUUACAUACAUAUAUAUAUAUAUAUAUAUAUAUAUAUAUAGCAAGAGAGAGAGUGAGAGAAAGAGAGAGAGACAUUUAUAUUGUUACUAUUAUGUUAAACUAUUGUAUGUCCAAAUUUGGCAAGCUGCUUCAGAUGCCAAGAUAUCAAAAAUUGUCAAAGUGUAGUAUAACGGUUUUGCAAUGGAAUGAUGGAAUGGUGAAACUACUUUUCUGUUUUCUAAAAAAGCAAGGUUUUGGAAUUACGAUACUUUUGCAUAAUAGUAACAAUAUAUAUAUAUACAUACAUUUAUAUACAUACAUAUAUAUAUAUAUAUAUAUAUAUAUAUAUAUAUAUAUAUAUAUAUAUAUAUAUAUGUAUAUAUGUAUAUAAAUGUAUGUAUAUAUAUAUAUAUAUAUAUAUAUAUAUAUAUAUAUAUAUAUAUAUACAUAUGUACCUUCCCAGGUGAAGAAUGUACCCCACAACAUAGACUGGUAGUUAGUGACUUUAGGAUCAGGACUAGGAGGACAACCAGAAGACGACAAAUAUGGAGAAGAAGGAUCUGGAAGCUUAAAGAUCCUGCAAAUGGACAGAGAUUUAGGGACAUAUUACUUGAAGCCUCUGACGAAGUAGAAGGGGAUAGAGCAUCACAGGGGGUAGAAGACAGCUGGACGUUUCUAAGGGACAACCUGCUGAGAGCCACUGACCAGAUCUGUGGCUGGUGCAAAGUCCCCUCUCGACCUAGAAUAACGUGGUGGUGGAACAACAUUGUAGACAGGGCUAUUAGAGAAAAGAGACAGGCUUGGAAGGUCUGGAAAAAUGGGGGUAGCAGGGAAUUGUAUCAGACUGCCAAAAGAGAAGCUAGGAGACAGGUUUAUUUAGCCAGAGGGGAAGCAGAUAAGAAAAAAUUUGCCAAUGUUCUGCGCCGUGAGGACCAAAAACUGGAGGUGUUUCGUGUUGCAAGACAGUGUGUGAGAGAGAAUCGUGAUGUGGUAGGAGAGAAGUGUGUUCGCAUGGAAGAUGGUUCACUUGCGCUAAAUGAGGAUGCAAAGAGAGAGGUUUGGAGAUGCCACUAUGAAAGGUUGCUGAAUGAAGAAAAUGAAUGGGAUAAAGAGAGUCUGCCGAAUGUUGACCCAACAGAGGGACCAGCUAUCCGAGUUGAUAGUUCUGUGGUAGCUAAGGCAAUUAGAAGCAUGAAGACAGGGAAAGCCCCAGGCCCAUCAGGAAUCACUGCAGAGAUGCUCAAAAUGUCUGGUAGUGUUGGCUAUAGCCUAGUCACCCAUAUAGUUAAUCAGGUGAUACACAAAGGGGUCAUACCCAAUGACUGGUGUAGCAGUAUAAUAGUCAACUGCUACAAAGGUAAAGGUGAUGCCCUAGAUACAAAUAACUACAGAGGUAUCAAGCUGUUGGACCAGGUGAUGAAGGUUACAGAGAGGGUCAUAGCCCAACUAAUUAGAGAGAGAGUUAGUUUAGAUGAGAUGCAGUUUGGGUUUGUGCCAGGGAAAAGUACUACUGAUGCUAUAUUCCUGGUAAGGCAGCUGCAGGAGAAAUACCUAGCCAAAGAUAAGCCCCUGUACCUGGCUUUUGUUGACAUGGAGAAAGCCUUCGACAGGGUCCCCCGAUCCCUUAUCUGGUGGGCAAUGAGAAAACUAGGGAUAGAUGAAUGGUUAGUGAGAGCUGUGCGGGCCAUGUAUAGGGACGCCGCUAGUAGGGUGAGGGUUGGAAAUGAGUACAGUGAAGAAUUCCGGGUAGAGGUAGGGGUCCACCAAGGCUCAGUCCUCAGCCCCCUCCUAUUUAUCAUAGUCCUCCAGGCAAUAACGGAGGAAUUCAAGACAGGAUGCCCUUGGGAGCUCCUCUAUGCUGAUGACCUUGCUCUAAUUGCUGAGUCGCUAUCAGAAAUGGAGGAGAAGUUUCAGGUGUGGAAACAAGGAUUAGAAUCGAAGGGCCUUAGAGUCAAUCUAGCUAAAACCAAAGUCGUAAUCAGUAGGAAGGUUGACAAAUCACAAACACCUUCAGGUAGAUGGCCCUGCUCGAUCUGUAGAAAAGGUGUAGGUAGAAACUCUAUAAGAUGCACCAAGUG